rnacentral:rRNA from 1 species
ACUUUAACACUGAGGCGUGAUGACGAGGCACUACGGUGCUGAAGCAACAAAUGCCCUGCUUCCAGGAAAAGCCUCUAAGCAUCAGGUAACAUCAAAUCGUACCCCAAACCGACACAGGUGGUCAGGUAGAGAAUACCAAGGCGCUUGAGAGAACUCGGGUGAAGGAACUAGGCAAAAUGGUGCCGUAACUUCGGGAGAAGGCACGCUGACAUGUAGGUGAAGUGAUUUACUC